UGCCCUGAAUAAGCAAAGAGCAGAAAGCAAGCUCGACUCCUUUUUGGGGGGUUUUGUUUCGACCAAGAUUUAAAUGUCAAUUUCAAGUUAAUUGUAUCUACUGUUGGUUCUCAUUAGGGGCGUUGUAGGAAAGCACUGAAGAGAAUCCUCUCUCAAACCUACACUCCUCUACUCUUCCCUGCCUUCGCUCGGCCACACAACUGCACCAUGGAACCUGAUUCAGAUCACCCAGGAAACCUGCUGGUCAGACAGAGCUGAGUUAUCGAGCGCCUGGCAAGGACGGACAUUAGCUGACAGUCUUAGUAAUGAUUCUAAAGGAGAUGGCUGUCCAGUUGCCCAGCGUCAGUUAUUACAAAGGCCAUCCUUUCUCCACUGCCCUUCGAUGCGUUUUAUUUGUAAGUCGCCCGUCUGCGUACGCUCAGGUCUACUUCUGGGCUCUCUGCCACGUGCCAGCGGCCGAAUCUCACUCCUGCGGCGUCUCAGGGCAACUUGUCAGGUUCUACAAGAAGAUACUGCCAGGGGGUUGAUCGGAACUGCAUCACACUUAGAUCAACUUUAGGAGUGUCCUUUGAUGCACAAAAGAUGUUAAGUUUAGGGGCGCCUGGG